rnacentral:rRNA from 1 species
CUGCAUAAGUUGUGUCGGUGGCAUAUCAUGAAGAAGCACAAAGACCACCUCACCUUGCUGUAUAAGGCGCACGAGAAACUCAAGGAUGACCUCAACGCGGUGCUGAACCACCCACUAAUGCCAGAAUUUGAACAAGCAUGGAAGGACCUAAUUCAGAGAUACAACUUGCAAGACGAUGAAGUGAUGAAUUCGCUGUGGGAUGACAGGAACGAGUGGAUCUCGGAUUACUACAAGGAAAUUUUCUGUGCUCGGAUGACUUCCACACAGAGAAGCGAGAGCAUGAACCGCAUACUGAAGAAAAACUUUGUCAAAGAGAAGCAUGAUCUCCAUCUGUUUGCUCAGCAGGUGGACAAGUGCAUUCAGACUAGGAAGGCCGUCGAGCACGCAGAGACAGUAGAAAAUGAGUCAGAGGUAAAGACAACAACCCAGUUUGGGUUCGAAGUUCAGCUAUCAAAAGUGUAUACAAGGGCAAUGUUUGCAUAUUUCAAAGAAACACUCUACCGUAGCACUGCAUUCAGAGUAGAACAGUGCCCUAAGAACCCGCGAAAGUAUCUCGUACAACACUAUAAUAGAUCGGAUGCAUUUGACUGGGCAAGGCAUAAUUUCCAAGUGGUCGCCAAUGAACAGAAAGGUGUCUUCGAAUGUGAGUGCAAACUCUGGACACACACAUGGCUCUUUUCCAUCCAUGUGUCAUGCAUGCUCUCUCAUUUGAGAGUACUCAAGAUUCCUGAGGUGCACAUCAUGAAAAGAUACACCCGUAAUGCAAGACCUAAUGCAACGUUUGGCAGAAGAGACUAUGAACAAACAACACCAGAUGGAACCUCGCUUUUUUGCCGUAGAAAAUUGCCGACUGAAACAGUAAUGGACCUUGCAAACAGAGCGACAAGGUCCGACGCUGGGUGCCACAGAGUGUUGUCUGAUAUGAGGGCACUGAUCGAGGAAGCUUAUGUUCUCAACAAAGAAGAAGAAGAAGUAGCAAAACUAAAGCAAGCAAAGAAAUCCCAGCAUGACAAUAAUGCCGAGCAAGUAGAAAAUACCGAACACAGUGGGACUGGUGCUAUAAAAAAAGAAACAAUUCUUCCACCUCUAGUUUCAAACACAAGAGGAAGGAAGAAAGGGGGCGACGCAACCUAG